UGUGCAAGCCAAGCAGGUUGAGAGGCAUAUACAACAUCAGCUGGGUGGAUUUUUGGAGAAGACUUUGAGCAAACUGCCAAACUUGGAAUCCUUGAGACCACGGAGCCAGUUGAUGCUGACUCGAAAGGCUGAAGCUGCCUUGAGAAAAGCUGCCAGUGAGACCACCACUUCAGAGGGACUUAGCAACUUUCUGAAAAGCAAUUCAAUUUCAGAAGAAUUGGAGAGAUUUACAGCUAGUGGCAUAGCCAACUUGAGGUGCAGUGAACAGGCAUUUGAUUCAGAUGUCACUGACAGUAGUUCAGGAGGGGAGUCUGAUAUUGAAGAGGAAGAACUGACCAGAGCUGAUCCCGAGCAGCGCCAUGUACCCCUAAAUAAAGCUCUGCAUGUGUGUUGGUGUGUUUUAGGUAUAAUUUUUAAUCUGUUUGUGGAACCACAGAAAUGGAUCCAAGAGG
rnacentral:sRNA from 1 species